rnacentral:rRNA from 1 species
UCCUACGGGAGGCAGCAGUAGGGAAUCUUCCGCAAUGGACGAAAGUCUGACGGAGCAACGCCGCGUGAGUGAUGAAGGCUUUCGGGUCGUAAAACUCUGUUGUUAGGGAAGAACAAGUGCUAGUUGAAUAAGCUGGCACCUUGACGGUACCUAACCAGAAAGCCACGGCUAACUACGUGCCAGCAGCCGCGGUAAUACGUAGGUGGCAAGCGUUAUCCGGAAUUAUUGGGCGUAAAGCGCAUGCAGGCGGCCUGUUAAGUCAGAUGUGAAAGCCCGGGGCUUAACCUCGGAAUUGCAUUUGAAACUGGCAGGCUAGAGUCUUGUAGAGGGGGGUAGAAUUUCAGGUGUAGCGGUGAAAUGCGUAGAGAUCUGAAGGAAUACCAGUGGCGAAGGCGGCCCCCUGGACAAAGACUGACGCUCAGAUGCGAAAGCGUGGGGAGCAAACAGGAUUAGAUACCCUGGUAGUCCACGCCGUAAACGAUGUCUACUUGGAGGUUGUGGCCUUGAGCCGUGGCUUUCGGAGCUAACGCGUUAAGUAGACCGCCUGGGGAGUACGGUCGCAAGAUUAAAACUCAAAUGAAUUGACGGA